rnacentral:rRNA from 1 species
CGUGUAGGCGGUUUGUACAGUCAGAUGUGAAAUCCCCGGGCUUAACCUGGGAGCUGCAUUUGAGACGUGCAGACUAGAGUGUGAGAGAGGGUUGUGGAAUUCCCAGUGUAGAGGUGAAAUUCGUAGAUAUUGGGAAGAACACCGGUGGCGAAGGCGGCACCUGGCUCAUUACUGACGCUGAGGCGCGAAAGCGUGGGGAGCAAACA